rnacentral:lncRNA from 1 species
GGACAUUUUAACAUUUAAACGUUUAGAGAAACACAUCUCUGAUCAGUCUUCUGCAUUGUACCCACAGAUCCUUUUCACUUCCACACGUCCACACGUCCCCCAGCAUCCACUAAACAGAUCAGAACAACAUCCAGCACAUCUGAUCCCCGAACAUCAGAAACAUCAUCUCUAUUCUGUGUUCGAGUGUGAUGUAAAAUCACUGAAAACAUAUUCAAAUAUUUCAGGUAAAUCAUUCUUAAGUACUAUUCAGAUUUAGAUUGAUCUUUAUAGAUUUUAUACUGUCAUAUAUAUUUCUGCACAAAGAAAUGUCUUUAUAUAUUUAAAAUUAAUGAAUGACACCUUUGUGUAUGUAGGCCUAAUUUAUUUAGUGUAAAUUAUCACUUUUUUUUCUUCCUCUUCUUUUCUUUCCUCUCCUUUCUGGCUUCUUGAUUGCUGAAGGUUCAUAUUUUGCUGGCUGCAGGAAUCACAAACCUGGCUGUCUGGUUACUGUCAGCAACUAGUGGGAGGCGCCAGUUUUGUUUUAUUUUUCCUGCACUGACGUCACAGAAUUUAAAGCUGCACACACAGUUUUUUAGUGCAUUUAAUUCAUAACCUGUUGUUUUCUGGGGGCUCCAUACCAGUCCAGCUCGGGGCCCUAGGCAAUUGAAAGGUUUGCUUGCCUUGUUGCAAUGAGCCUGCCUAUAAAGACUUUGACCACCACUGCUUUGCAUGUUAUAGUGCCACAUAGAGAAAACCUGACAUAACUUACCUGCUUAUUCCCAACCCAUACAUCACCAGUUAUUAUAAUUAUAUAUUACAGCUCUGGAAAAAAAGAGACCACUUAAUGAUGAUGUUUUUUUUCUUGAUUUUGCCAAAUUAAAAACCUCUAGAAUAGAAUCAAGAGGGAGAUGGAUGAUCACAAGCUAUCAAAUAAAGCUGAACUACUUAAAUUUUUGAGUGGCA